AACGAACGCUGGCGGCAGGCCUAACACAUGCAAGUCGAGCGCGCCUUCGGGUGAUCGGCGGGCGGGUGAGUAACGCGUGGGAAUAUGCCCUUCUCUACGGAAUAGUCCUGGGAAACUGGGGGUAAUACCGUAUACGCCCUUUGGGGGAAAGGUUUAUCGGGGAAGGAUUAGCCCUCGUUGGAUUAGGUAGUUGGUGGGGUAAUGGCCUACCAAGCCGACGAUCCAUAGCUGGUUUGAGAGGAUGAUCAGCCACACUGGGACUGAGACACGGCCCAGACUCCUACGGGAGGCAGCAGUGGGGAAUCUUAGACAAUGGGGGCAAACCUGAUCUAGCCAUGCCGCGUGAGUGAUGAAGGCCUUAGGGUUGUAAAGCUCUUUCAGCUGGGAAGAUAAUGACGGUACCAGCAGAAGAAGCCCCGGCUAACUCCGUG
rnacentral:rRNA from 1 species